rnacentral:rRNA from 1 species
CUGGGCGUAAAGCGAGCGCAGACGGUUACUUAAGCAGGAUGUGAAAUCCCCGGGCUCAACCUGGGAACUGCGUUCUGAACUGGGUGACUAGAGUGUGUCAGAGGGAGGUAGAAUUCCACGUGUAGCAGUGAAAUGCGUAGAGAUGUGGAGGAAUACCGAUGGCGAAGGCAGCCUCCUGGGAUAACACUGACGUUCAUGCUCGAAAGCGUGGGUAGCAAACAGGAUUAGAUACCCUGGUAGUCCACGCCCUAAACGAUGUCAAUUAGCUGUUGGGCAACUUGAUUGCUUAGUAGCGUAGCUAACGCGUGAAAUUGACCGCCUGGGGAGUACGGUCGCAAGAUUAAAACUCAAAGGAAUUGACGGGGACCCGCACAAGCGGUGGAUGAUGUGGAUUAAUUCGAUGCAACGCGAAGAACCUUACCUGGUCUUGACAUGUACGGAAUCCUCCAGAGACGGAGGAGUGCCUUCGGGAACCGUAACACAGGUGCUGCAUGGCUGUCGUCAGCUCGUGUCGUGAG